GAUGAACGCUGGCGGCGUGCCUAAUACAUGCAAGUCGAGCGAACAGACGAGGAGCUUGCUCCCCUGACGUUAGCGGCGGACGGGUGAGUAACACGUGGAUAACCUACCUAUAAGACUGGGAUAACUUCGGGAAACCGGAGCUAAUACCGGAUAAUAUAUUGAACCGCAUGGUUCAAUAGUGAAAGACGGUUUUGCUGUCACUUAUAGAUGGAUCCGCGCCGCAUUAGCUAGUUGGUAAGGUAACGGCUUACCAAGGCAACGAUGCGUAGCCGACCUGAGAGGGUGAUCGGCCACACUGGAACUGAGACACGGUCCAGACUCCUACGGGAGGCAGCAGUAGGGAAUCUUCCGCAAUGGGCGAAAGCCUGACGGAGCAACGCCGCGUGAGUGAUGAAGGUCUUCGGAUCGUAAAACUCUGUUAUUAGGGAAGAACAAAUGUGUAAGUAACUAUGCACGUCUUGACGGUACCUAAUCAGAAAGCCACGGCUAACUACGU
rnacentral:rRNA from 1 species